CGAACGGGUGAGUAAUACAUCGGAACGUGUCCGCUCGUGGGGGACGAACCAGCCGAAAGGUUGGCUAAUACCGCAUGAGUUCUACGGAAGAAAGAGGGGGACCCGCAAGGGCCUCUCGCGAGCGGAGCGGCCGAUGACUGAUUAGCCUGUUGGUGAGGCGACGGCUCACCAAAGCAACGAUCAGUAGCUGGUCUGAGAGGACGACCAGCCACACUGGGACUGAGACACGGCCCAGACUCCUACGGAAGGCAGCAG
rnacentral:rRNA from 1 species